rnacentral:lncRNA from 1 species
CCAAAGCACCAGAAACAACAGCACACCCCCCACAUUGUGUUCCAAGUCCAAGAAAACACACCCCACGCACAGAAUGCCCAAAGCUCGGCCAUCUUCCCCGGCUCCGGCAACUUAGCCGUCGUCGCUGUGCAUCCCCGGACCAAUCUGUCGAGCACGUGGUGGGCGUCACCGUCCUCGCCGCUGGCCACUCGAACCGCCGACGCUGCUCCGGCCGCCGUUCCUCACCACCGAAGCAACACCAAGCCAAUGUACUUCGUCUGCAAGCUCGCCUUGACCCCAUCAAGGUUCGACUGA